AUCGCUCACAUGCACAGUGCUCAGCCUCGCCCAUGCCCGGAUCCCGAGGGACAGCUGCUCGGAGACCCACCCAGAAGCUAAGCUGCAGGGUGAGCAAUGUUUUCCACUGUGAGCGGGCGCCCGGCUAAGCUGCAUGUGGGUGAAUCAUGAAAGCCUGAACAGGGAGAUGGAUUAGGGCUAGAAGGGAACUCCACUUCAUAAAGCUUGUGCCUCCCCUCCCCCACCAAGAACAGGCCUGGAAAGGAGACCUACCACUUUCCAAAUAGUUGGAAGCAAGAGGAACCAACACAGAGAGACAGGGAAACUCGAUGCAUUCACUUAACCCUGGGUGGGACUGGACGAGGCUUCUUCAGGUCACGGGAGACUCUUACAAGAUGACCAUUUACCUAAAGGUGGCAGUGAAGCUUUUCAGUUUCAGGCCUUAUCAGGACUAACAAGGGGGCCCCUGGUUUUACGUAUCCAGCUUUGCCAACAGCGGGGAGCAGAGACACGCAGCCUGGUAAGAAAGGAGGUAAGGCUAUCCUGCACUCACUCAUUAUGGACAGAAUGCACCCCUGUAUAUGUUAGA
rnacentral:lncRNA from 1 species